rnacentral:rRNA from 1 species
AACCUCCGCAAUGUACGAAAGUGCGACGGGGGGAUCCCAAGUGUUAUGCUUUUUUGUAUAACUUUUCAUUAGUGUAAAAAGCUUUUAGAAUAAGAGCUGGGCAAGACCGGUGCCAGCCGCCGCGGUAACACCGGCAGCUCGAGUGGUAGCUGUUUUUAUUGGGCCUAAAGCGUUCGUAGCCGGUUUGAUAAGUCUUUGGUGGAAGCUUGUAGCUUAACUAUAAGAAUUGCUGGAGAUACUAUCAGACUUGAAGUCGGGAGAGGUUAGAGGUACUACCGGGGUAGGGGUGAAAUCCUAUAAUCCUGGGAGGACCACCUGUGGCGAAGGCGUCUAACUGGAACGAUCUUGACGGUGAGUAACGAAAGCCAGGGGCGCGAACCGGAUUAGAUACCGGGUAGUCCUGGCCGUAAACGAUGUGGACUUGGUGUUGGAAUGGCUUUGAGUUGUUCCGGUGCCGAAGGGAAGCUGUUAAGUCCACCGCCUGGGAAGUACGGUCGCAAGACUGGAACUUAAAGGAAUU